rnacentral:ncRNA from 1 species
GUGGCCCCAGGUGAAAAGGGAACCAGGUGAGACUCCUGGACAGACGGUGCUGCUGUGUGCCCCCUGUUGAAUAUGCCCGCAUCUGACCACUGCGCAAUGCUCCCGAUGAUAAUGGGUGAGCGUGGGAAGGUCGGAACGCAUGAUGGGGUAGGGGCGAGUCAGAAGACCUGCCAAAUCGUAA